rnacentral:rRNA from 1 species
AUUGAACGCUGGCGGCAGGCCUAACACAUGCAAGUCGAACGAGUGGCGGACGGGUGAGUAAUGUCUGGGAAACUGCCCGAUGGAGGGGGAUAACUACUGGAAACGGUAGCUAAUACCGCAUACCAUCGGAUGUGCCCAGAUGGGAUGAGCUAGUCGGUGGGGUAACGGCUCACCUAGGCGACGAUCCCUAGCUGGUCUGAGAGGAUGACCAGCCACACGGGAACUGAGACACGGUCCAGACGCCUACGGGAGGCAGCAGGGGGGAAUAUUGCACAAUGGGGGCAAGCCUGAUGCAGCCAUGCCGCGUGUAUGAAGAAGGCCUUCGGGUUGUAAAGUACUUUCAGCGAGGAGGCGGUAGAAGAAGAAGAAGCACCGGCUAACUCCGUGCCAGCAGCCGCGGUAAUUG